AUCCCGGAGCCCUCAGUUCUCCCUCCCCCAGGUCCAGGGAAGGGAAGCUAACAUUUAUUGAGCACCUGAUACUCACUGGGCAUUUCCCAGGUAUGAUGUCAUGCAAUCAUCACAGCAACCCUUCCGCACGUGGGCUGACGCCCCCCUCCUCCCCCCUCCACUCCUUCUGUCUUGCCUGCCUGCCCCUUCCCAGGACCCAGGCCACUGGCUUCCCCACCCUCCCCUCACCCCCUUCCACAACUCUUUUUCCGACCACUCUGUCUGAGCCACAUUCAAACCUUCCCAGUCUGCACAAGAUCUCUAAGGGAGCCCACAGCCUCAGUCUUUCCCCCACGAGUGGAAAUGCCACUGCAGGCCCCAUCUGGACACAAGCAACGAGAUGCCAACCUCCAGAUUCAAGUUUCUUCGGAUUUUUUUUAAUUAUAAUUAUUAUUUUAAUAACAACCUGAAUCCCAGAA